UACGGGGGGGGCAAGCGUUGUUCGGAAUUACUGGGCGUAAAGGGCGCGUAGGCGGCUUGCUAAGUUGGAUGUGAAAACUCUGGGCUUAACCCAGAGCCUGCAUCCAAAACUGGCAAACUUGAGUACUGGAGGGGAAAGCGGAAUUCCUGGUGUAGCGGUGAAAUGCGUAGAUAUCAGGAGGAACACCGGUGGCGAAGGCGGCUUUCUGGACAGUAACUGACGCUGAGGCGCGAAAGCUAGGGGAGCAAACAGG
rnacentral:rRNA from 1 species